rnacentral:lncRNA from 1 species
GUGAGGUCCGUGUUGGUUAUUUUUAACAUCAUGUGUGGUGUUUUGUGAAUAAUUGUUAGCCCAUUUACUUGAAUGGUUUGUAAUCUGUAUCUGUUUAGUGAUUGUUUGUUCAUUUCAGUUUUUUAUUGCUUCCUUGGUACUUUCAUCCUAGUUUUUCAAUAUUUUUAUAUAAUAUUUAAGAUCGAUCAGUUGUAGAAUAUUUUGUUUGUCAAAUUGUGGUUAACACCAAGCUCAUUUCUAUAUGUUCCUGUAUAAAAUUAACGUUCCGACGUUUAUUGUCAAUCUAAUGAUCAUUCGAGCCCAACAUCCAAAACCUAAUACAAGUGAGGAAAAGCUUUCAAAGACAUCAAAUACUAUUCGUAUGUUCAUGCCAGUAUAGAUGUACCCAAAGUGUAGUCAAAUCCGGAAAGGAAUCAGAGCUUUGUCAGUGGAAUUUAAUAUGCAAUUGAAGACGUUCGUUUCCUACAUUGAUUUAUGGCACAUGUCGUGUAUACGGUUUCUAAUUUAACUUGAC